CCUUAGUAGCGGCGAGCGAAACGGGAUUAGCCCAAACCAAGAGGCUUGCCUCUUGGGGUUGUAGGACACUCUACAUGGAGUUACAAAGGAACGGGGUAGAUGAAUAGGUCUGGAAAGGCCAGUCACAGAAGGUAAAAACCCUGUAGUCGAAACUUCGUUCCCUCCUGAGUGGAUCCUGAGUACGGCGGGACACGAGAAAUCCCGUCGGAAGCAGGGAGGACCAUCUCCCAAGGCUAAAUACUCCCUAGUGACCGAUAGCGAACCAGUACUGUGAGGGGAAGGUGAAAAGCACCCCGGAAGGGGAGUGAAAUAGAUCCUGAAACCGUGUGCCUACAAGUAGUUAGAGCCCAUUAAUGGGUGAUAGCGUGCCUUUUGUAGAAUGAACCGGCGAGUUACGAUUACAUGCAAGGUUAAGUUGAAGAGACGGAGCCGCAGCGAAAGCGAGUCUGAAUAGGGCGAUAGAGUAUGUGGUCGUAGACCCGAAACCAGGUGAUCUACCCAUGUCCAGGGUGAAGUCCAGGUAACACUGGAUGGAGGCCCGAACCCACGCACGUUGAAAAGUGCGGGGAUGAGGUGUGGGUAGCGGAGAAAUUCCAAUCGAACUUGGAGAUAGCUGGUUCUCUCCGAAAUAGCUUUAGGGCUAGCCUCAAGGUAAGAGUAUUGGAGGUAGAGCACUGUUUGGACUAGGGGCCCCCAUCGGGUUACCGAAUUCAGACAAACUCCGAAUGCCAAAUACUUAUCCUUGGGAGUCAGACUGCGAGUGAUAAGAUCCGUAGUCAAGAGGGAAACAGCCCAGACCACCAGCUAAGGUCCCAAAGUAUACGUUAAGUGGAAAAGGAUGUGGAGUUGCUUAGACAACCAGGA
rnacentral:rRNA from 1 species